rnacentral:lncRNA from 1 species
GAUUCAGGGGACUCGCGGCGAGGGCGUGAACGAGGGGAGGGGACCCGCGAAGGGCAUGGCUGUCUCCGUAAGCUCCAACCUCGAGGGGUGGACCUCUAGGACCGGCACCGCUGCUACGCAUGCGUUAGGUUUCCGGCGACACUCCUGAGUUCCGGGGUUCGGGUGGGCAUGAUUGACAAGUGAGGAAGCUGGGAACCCCAAGAGCCAGACGCUGUGGAAGAGUGUUGAGAACCCCACGCUGAUUUGGAAUUCUGGUUAAUCCUCCCUCAGGCUCCUGAGUGCUAGGGUAAAGGGCACACGACACUAUACUCUGUUUUAUAGUUUUGUAUAUAUGUACUGCUUGAGAGAUGUUCUGCUUCUUUUAGUUAUAUCUGUGCUUGUUUCUGAGAGGGAUGUUACAGUGCCUGCAGGUACCUGAGGUGCCUGAAGACGGUGUUAGAAGUCACCAGGCAAGCGCAGGAGAUCUAGGUACCAGUGAGCCACCUAUCACGGGCACUGGGAACCAAACUCAGCUCCUGUGUCCCCAGAAUCCUGCAGAAGGACAGCGCCAUGUCCACGUUCAGGCAGGAGGACGUUGAGGACCAUUAUGAGAUGGGAGAGGAGCUUGGCAGCGGCCAGUUCGCCAUCGUGCGCAAGUGCCAGCAGAAGGGCACCGGCAUGGAGUACGCGGCCAAGUUCAUAAAGAAGCGGCGCCUGCCGUCCAGCCGGCGCGGUGUGAGCCGUGAGGA